rnacentral:rRNA from 1 species
UACGUAGGCAGCGAGCGUUGUUCGGAGUUACUGGGCGUAAAGAGUGCGUAGGCGGUUUUCUAAGGUUGGUGUGAAAUCUCCCGGCUUAACUGGGAGGGUGCGCCGAAGACUGGAAGGCUUGAGUAUGGGAGAGGUAAGCGGAAUUCCUGGUGUAGCGGUGAAAUGCGUAGAUAUCAGGAGGAACACCUGCGGUGUAGACGGCUUACUGGACCAUAACUGACGCUGAGGCACGAAAGCGUGGGUAGCAAACAGG